rnacentral:rRNA from 1 species
UACGAAGGGGGCUAGCGUUGUUCGGAAUUACUGGGCGUAAAGCGCACGUAGGCGGAUAUUUAAGUCAGGGGUGAAAUCCCAGAGCUCAACUCUGGAACUGCCUUUGAUACUGGGUAUCUAGAGUAUGGAAGAGGUGAGUGGAAUUCCGAGUGUAGAGGUGAAAUUCGUAGAUAUUCGGAGGAACACCAGUGGCGAAGGCGGCUCACUGGUCCAUUACUGACGCUGAGGUGCGAAAGCGUGGGGAGCAAACAGG